GAGGGUAUAACUCAGCAGCAGAGUGAGUGCUUAGCAUACAGGAGGUCCUGGGUACAAUCCCCAGUACCUCCA
rnacentral:tRNA from 1 species